GAUGAACGCUGGCGGCGUGCCUAAUACAUGCAAGUCGAGCGAAUGGAUUAAGAGCUUGCUCUUAUGAAGUUAGCGGCGGACGGGUGAGCAACACGUGGGUAACCUGCCCAUAAGACUGGGAUAACUCCGGGAAACCGGGGCUAAUACCGGAUAACAUUUUGAACCGCACGGUUCGAAAUUGAAAGGCGGCUUCGGCUGUCACUUAUGGAUGGACCCGCGUCGCAUUAGCUAGUUGGUGAGGUAACGGCUCACCAAGGCAACGAUGCGUAGCCGACCUGAGAGGGUGAUCGGCCACACUGGGACUGAGACACGGCCCAGACUCCUACGGGAGGCAGCAGUAGGGAAUCUUCCGCAAUGGACGAAAGUCUGACGGAGCAACGCCGCGUGAGUGAUGAAGGCUUUCGGGUCGUAAAACUCUGUUGUUAGGGAAGAACAAGUGCUAGUUGAAUAAGCUGGCACCUUGACGGUACCUAACCAGAAAGCCACGGCUAACUACGUGCCAGCAGCCGCGGUAA
rnacentral:rRNA from 1 species